UUGGGGGGGAGUCAUUUUAUGAGAAUUAAGUGCAUUGGACCCUCGCACACUCAUGGUUCAGCACCCGCAGAUUCCCAUAUUUGCAUUUCCCCCCCCAAAAG